UUUAUGGAGAGUUUGAUCCUGGCUCAGGAUGAACGCUGGCGGCGUGCCUAAUACAUGCAAGUCGAGCGAACGGACGAGAAGCUUGCUUCUCUGAUGUUAGCGGCGGACGGGUGAGUAACACGUGGAUAACCUACCUAUAAGACUGGGAUAACUUCGGGAAACCGGAGCUAAUACCGGAUAAUAUUUUAAACCGCAUGGUUCAAAAGUGAAAG
rnacentral:rRNA from 1 species